rnacentral:rRNA from 1 species
GACGAACGCUGGCGGCGUGCCUAAUACAUGCAAGUAGAACGCUGAAGAGUGGUGCUUAUUCUUCCUGGAUGAGUUGCGAACGGGUGAGUAACGCGUGGGUAACCUGCCUUGUAGCGGGGGAUAACUAUUGGAAACGAUAGCUAAUACCGCAUAACAAUGGUUGACACAUGUCAUUUAUUUGAAAGGGGCAAUUGCUUCACUACAAGAUGGUCCUGCGUUGUAUUAGCUAGUAGGUGAGGUAAUGGCUCACCUAGGCGACGAUACAUAGCCGACCUGAGAGGGUGGUCGGCCACACUGGGACUGAGACACGGCCCAGACUCCUACGGGAGGCAGCAGUAGGGAAUCUUCGGCAAUGGGGGCAAGCCUGACCGAGCAACGCCGCGUGAGUGAAGAAGGUUUUCGGAUCGUAAAGCUCUGUUGUAAGUCGAGAACGGGUGUGAGAGUGGAAAGUUCACACUGUGACGGUAGCUAACCAGAAAGGGACGGCUAACUACGUG